rnacentral:piRNA from 1 species
UUGAUGCGGGUGGUCCUUCUACUAAGUUUC